UGUAAGCGUAUACCAAAGUUGUUGCAGUUAAAACGCUCGUAGUCGGAAUUUGGCAGUUCCGGAUGUGUGCACGUCGUGUGCGCACUUCGCGGGGAUUGCUUUUGUGGUCUUGCGUAGGAUGAGGCACUUUUAUUAGUGAACGUCCUCACGCAACCACUUUUUACUGUGAGAAAAUCAGAGUGCUCAAAGCAGGCAUUUGCCGUGAAUGUAUUAGCAUGGAACAAUAGAAUAGGACUUGGUUCUAUUUUGUUGGUUUGUUGGGACCGAGUAAUGAUUAAGAGGGACAGUUGGGGGCAUUUGUAUUUCGGUGCUAGAGGUGAAAUUCUUAGAUUACCGAAAGACAAACUGCUGCGAAAGCGUCUGCCAAGGAUGUUUUCAUUGA
rnacentral:rRNA from 1 species